AACGAACGCUGGCGGCACGUUUUAAGCAAGCAAGUCGAACGGCAGCAGGGGCAACCCUGUGAGAGUGGCGAACGUGUGAGUAACACGUAGGUGAUCUGCCUGACGGCUGGGGAUAGCUUGUGGAAACACAGGGUAAUACCGAAUGAGCUGACGGGGCUAUGGCCAAGUUAGUAAAGGUGCUACGGCACCGCCGCCAGAGGAGCCUGCGGCUGAUUAGCUAGUUGGUGGGGUAAAGGCCUACCAAGGCGACGAUCAGUAGCCGGCCUGAGAGGGUGUACGGCCACACUGGAACUGAGACACGGUCCAGACUCCUACGGGAGGCAGCAGCUAAGAAUCUUCCGCAAUGGGCGAAAGCCUGACGGAGCGAUGCCGCGUGAUCGAUGAAGGUCGAGAGAUUGUAAAGAUCUUUUCCACAUGAGGAAUAAGCUGAGGAGGGAAUGCCUUGGUGAUGCCGUUAGUGUGGGAAUAAGCCCCGGCUAAUUACGUGCCAGCCGCCGCCGUAAGAC
rnacentral:rRNA from 1 species